rnacentral:rRNA from 1 species
AGUGAACGCUGGCGGUAGGCCUAACACAUGCAAGUCGAACGGCAGCACAGUAAGAGCUUGCUCUUACGGGUGGCGAGUGGCGGACGGGUGAGGAAUACAUCGGAAUCUACUUUUUCGUGGGGGCUAACGUAGGGAAACUUACGCUAAUACCGCAUACGACCUACGGGUGAAAGCAGGGGAUCUUCGGACCUUGCGCGAUUGAAUGAGCCGAUGUCGGAUUAGCUAGUUGGCGGGGUAAAGGCCCACCAAGGCGACGAUCCGUAGCUGGUCUGAGAGGAUGAUCAGCCACACUGGAACUGAGACACGGUCCAGACUCCUACGGGAGGCAGCAGUGGGGAAUAUUGGACAAUGGGCGCAAGCCUGAUCCAGCCAUACCGCGUGGGUGAAGAGGGCCUUCGGGUUGUAAAGCCCUUUUGUUGGGAAAGAAAAGCAGCAGGUUAAUACCCCGCUGUUCUGACGGUACCCAAAGAAUAAGCACCGGCUAACUUCGUG